rnacentral:misc_RNA from 1 species
GAUGAAGAACGCAGCGAAAUGCGAUAAGUAAUGUGAAUUGCAGAAUCCAGUGAAUCAUCGAAUCUUUGAACGCACAUUGCGCCCGCCAGUAUUCUGGCGGGCAUGCCUGUCCGAGCGUCAUUUCAACCAUCAAGCCCCCAGGGGCUUGUGCUGGGGCCCUGCGGCUGCCCGCAGGCCCUGAAAACCAGUGGCGGGCUCGCUAGUCACACCGAGCGCAGUAGCACAUCUCGCUCAGGGCGUGCGGCGGGCUCCUGCCGUGAAACCCCCCACUGUAACCCCAAAGGUUGACCUCGGAUCAGGUAGGAAUACCCGCUGAACUUAAGCAUAUCAAAAGCGGAGGA